CCCAGGCACCGCCGCCGGCCGCCUCUUCACCUGUUGCGGGGGACCUGGCGGCCGAGGGGGCGCGGAGUCUCGCCCGGAGUCGCUGGGCUGCUGCGCGGAGGAGGAGGGGGCGCGGGGUGCGCGCUGCCUGCGGCCCCCUGCCGGGCCCCGGCCUCCGACAGGCCCCGCCUCCCUCGGGCGGGCAGCCACCGCUGACCUGUCUCCUCGCACCUGACCGCGGCGUAGGCUGCAGGGCCCCGCGGGGACACCGGGGCCUCCGCGAAUGCGCUCCCCGAGCGGCUGGGGGGUGGGGUGGCGACUCGUAGGCGAGAAAGAGCGGCGGGAACUCUGACCCGGCCGGACCUUAGACCCGCGAUCGACGCGAGGCCGCCAGGACCGCCCUGGAGACGGCCCGAGGUUCUCCCCCACCCGCCGCGGCCGCCACUACAGCCCGGCGUUAUUUCCUGCCCCUCCUGUCGGGAACAAUGGGCUGAACAAGACAUAUCCGAGAAUCACUGGUUGGCACCCUCAGAGUCAGGUGAAGGGAAAGGCCCUCUUCUCCCUCUCAGACUCCCCCCAUGGAGGCCCCCCAGCUGCCUGCGUGGAGAGGUGACUCCAAGAGCAGCGGAGCUGGAGGAUACACCAGGGAGAGUGAUGGGAAAACAAGCGAUUCAACUCCAGAUUCAGCAGAGAGCCCAGGUUUAAAAACCACAGCAGCAGAAAUUCAAGGCUGGUGAUUUCUCUACAAACAAGAACCAAUUUGAGAACUCAGAAGUCUUCGUUCUUGAAUUUGUGAAGUGUCUUUUCAUUUUCAUGAGUCCAAUGGUAGAGGGUGGCCGUGGAGGCAGAUUGGUUUCCCGUGUAACUUCAGCUUUCUUUUCUCUUAUGUUUCAACCACAUCUGGCUUCUAAGAAAGACCAAGCCGAGAUGUGUUUGCUAGAGGUGAAGUGGAAUAAGAAAACUUGUUGGGAAGUGUACAUUCUUCAGGUACACUGCCCCCAGGGGAAAACUCGGCCUGGGGAGGAGACAUGCUAUUCAGGACCCUUUGCGUUUGGAACCAUUUGAAUGCACACGUGGUUUGCAUACUGCUGUUCCAGCUGUGGUCUGCACAGAGGAGCCAUAAUCGGCAGAGGCACCGAUCUGAUGCCAGGUAUUUUAGAUCUGGUUAAGGCCCCUGGCAUCGUGGAGCAGAGAUAAGCCAUCCACACUGAGUCCUUUCCAAACCCCAGAUCCACAGAAUUCUGGACCAUAAUGAAAUGGUUGUUGUUCAAAGCUUGGGAUUUUGGCAGGAUGUAUCACACAGUGAUAGAGAAUUAAAGAAAAUGGUUAUAUCACAUUAAAAAUAAAGGACUGGAGAGGACAGGAGGCCAGGCAGCGCAGGCUGUAUAACCUCAGCGCGGUGUCUCGGUUGAGAAGAGCAGGAAGCAAGUCUGAGCCUCACCAGUCCUGUUCCUUCCCUCGGGGGUUACUCAUCGCAUGAGGGCUGCAUUCCAAGGACCAGCAUCAGAGACAGAGCUCGGAGAACGCUGUAUUGCCUCCUACGAGCUGGCCUGAGACAUCAGGCACGAAGUCCUGACCUUAAGGCAUGCUGUCUUGGAGGACUUGCUCGUGAAGACUGUCCUUCCCUCCUCCUCCAGGUGACCAGGGAUGCAGCCGGAGCCUGAUAGAUGUGCUUCCUGCUUGCAACCCCGAGAGAGGACUUGUAUUACUUUAUAGACUCAAUUCAGACAAUACAACUGCAGGCUUGGGUGGAUGUUGGCCAGAUUUAUGUUGGAAGAAACAAACCCAGCAGGCUUUGCAAUAAAUAAGAUUCAUUUCAUUCUGGAAGUUUCUGCUUGGAGAAGGAGUGAAGUUUCAAGCUAUACGGUCCGUGAUGGCUGCAAACUAUGCACAUGUGUUUCUCAGGAUGACUUCUAUGGUUAACACUUUAGCCUUUGAAAGCCAGCUUUGGCCCUAAGAACCAAGAAGCCACUUGAGACCAUUGGAAUAAAGUCUAGAUUUGGGGACCAGAUAUUCAAAACCUCCCGUAAUCUGGCUGCAGCCGAACAUCACAACCUCCAUUCCCCUCACAAUUUACACUUUACUGAGUAGAAUUUAAACUAAUGUUUUAAAUACUUUUUGAUACUUUUUUCUCCUUUAGUAGUUUUCUACAUGGUAGAUUAUAGACCAUUUUUGUUUUCUUCUUCAUACUUUUGGAUGUUUGAGGAAACCUAAUAAACAUUAUUUGGGAGGAAAUGCCAUUCUUUCCUCAGUAACAGAAUCUUCUCAAACCUGUUGAACGCUGCUGAAACUCGUCUGUGCGAAAAACAUACCACCAUGCAAGGCCGUCCAUCUUCCAUCACAGACAGGUGGCACCGUGAGAAGCUUCUCACAUUAGACCCGGACCUGCCUCUCUUACCCAGCUCUGGGCUCCCGACCAAGAGGCACGGUUCUACUCCUUCCCAUGACUUCCCUCUGGGUAUUUUCAGAUCACAGUGAAGUUCACCUUGCACACUCAGCCCAAGCCUUCUGACACCCAGUCCAUCAUAUCCAGGAUCCACCCUCCUGCUUGUCCUCUUUAAGGUGGAUGUUAUUCUUAAGCGUUUCCUCUGACGGGAAUGCCUGCACUCCAUUCAGUAUUUCUUCAUUCUUCCAUCAGCUAGGCAUGGAGCGCCCACUGCGGGCCAGGCCCUGGGACCCGGGGGAGGGCUGACGGACCAGAGCCCUGCCUCCCAGGGCUCACCGUGUCCCAAAGAAACAGGGACAAGCAGAGCACCAGGGGCUGCUACUAUGUCUCUGGAUUGUCACCUCUUUUUCCCACUGUACAUCCUAAAACGGUGUUAUCUUACCUGGUUCUGCAGCAGACCUUUUUCAGGCCACCUGGAGCGAUGCUGUGCUCCUGCUGUUCUGUACUGAGGCAGGUUCCUCUCUUUUGUACUUAACAAGCACGGCGACAGUUCCCACUUUGUGUUGCUGGUCUCACACAGCUCGGCCUCUGACCUGUCAACAGCAUCUAAAUCUCGAUCCCGUCAUCUUUUUCAUUGUUGUGUUCCCAGUUUAGGGACAUCGGUAAAGGGGGUAAGCAUGACUUUCAUGGUUUGUGUUUUUUUUUUUUUUAAUUUCCUUAUUUUUUUGUUGAAUUUAUUGGGGUGAAGCUGGUUAACAAAAACCAUCUAGAUUUCAGGGGUGCAAUUCUGUAAUACAUCAUUUGUAUAUUGUAUUUUGUGUUCGCCACCCCAAGUUAGGUUUUUGUUUUUAAAUUAAUGGUUUAUUUGGUGAGAUGUGGACAAAGCGAUACACAGUACCCUAUGAAAUGCCACAUUGAUUCAAAGACCCUUGAUAAAAUAGUUGAACAAAGAAAUGGGUACUUUUCUCUGACUUUUAAAAAAGUCCCCUUUUCUUAAGUCUCUUCAUUUGCUAUUUUCCAAAUCAGUUGAUCACUUUUUUCUGAAGAGUUCUGGCAUCUCAGUGUCAGUGGACUGGUUGAGCACCCCGGACAUAAUUAAUGACAUGAAUGUGUUACAAAGAACUAUAAUAACGUAUGUACAACAACCGAAAUAACUGUUGUGUGGAGGAUUGCCCAAAUUAUCACGCCUCCACUAAUUCCUGCCUCACCCCUUUAGAAAGAAAAAUUGGGUCAUUUGAACGUGAAGGCCCAUUUACCUUCAUUGUAAGUGUUGAAAAGAAUAACUUUUAAAAAAAUGCCUAUGAUCAACAAAGCCAUCUGCUAAACCAUUCCCGGGUCAUUGCGAAGCCCUGGACUGCUCAGGAAAAUUCUAUUUUUGUGUUCAUUGUUGAAAGCAUCAGUAUCAACAGGAAAGCCAACCCUACUGAGAGAGAUGAGAUAGUCCCAGACAAUGGGCUGUCCACCGCUGUCACAAAGUUCUGGUUGAGUUUGCAGGGGGCUGCGGGUCUCCUCCCAGGGCUGGGACAGUUUCCGGUGCUUCCAGGGGCUUCACCCAGUGGACAUCAGAGGCGGAGCCAGGGGCCUGGGCGAUCUGUCAGCCUCUGCCUCACAGGGGGAGCUAACAUUCAGUGCGCAGGACAGGGUUUCUGCUCCUGCUCAGGCAGGCCGUGCCCUGGGGCUGGGCCCUGGAGAGGGAGCUCACGUUAUUUUUCAGCCAUUCUAAACCCAAGGACAUUGUACUGUGAUAACAGUACUCUUGUCUGAUCCGUAGGCUUUAUUCAGAUUUCACUAGAUGCUUCACUAAAUUUUUUUUUUCCUUGCCCAGGGUCUAAUCCCAUACUAUGUGUUGCAUUUAGUGUUCAUUUUAAAGACUCCUUUAGUCAAGAAUAGUCCCUUUUUCUUUCUUGUCUUUCAUCACCUGGACAUUUUCUCAACGUAUGGGCCAGUCAUUUUGUAGGGUGUUCCUCAGUCCGGGUCUGUCUGAUGUUUGGUAGUGAUUAGGUUCAGUGUGUGUGUUUUGGGCAAGAAUACCACAGAGAUACUGCCGUGUCCUUGUCCGUGCACUGUAUCAGGAGGCGCGUGAUGUUUAUUUGUCCCACUGGUGCUGAUGUGAACCUUGGUCACCGGGUUCAGUGUCUGCCAGAUCUCUCCACUCCAAAGUUUCUCUUUUUCCCUUUGUAAUUAUAAUGAUCUGUCAGAGAAAUACUUUGAAACUAUACACAUCUCAAAAGGGUGUUUUGAGAGUAGAAGUGGGUAAUGCAAGUAAACUAGGAUUAUUCUGGGAAAACCAGGACAUAAAACAAGUCUUUCACUUUUGUUUUGAAAGACUUUCUGACUCCCUGGUAUGAUGGCCAGGCUGUUCCAGCUACAGCUCAUGGGUCACCUUUGUGGAGAGACCUUUUCUGAGUCUCCCAUGACUCUGCCAGCAUGCCACUGUGGGAAGAUGGCCACCAAAGACUUGUAACACGCGAAGUGCCCCUUGGAGUCCUUGCCUCUCUCCACCUCAGACCGAGAGGCAACCUUUCAGCUUUGCCUCCUAGGACCUUACUUGUGGCCGGCACAGGAGCGGCACCACCUACAUGUGUGAAUUCACACUGGUCUGCUCUGAACCUUGCAGCUUUUGGAAGGAGGGCUGAUGAACUUUGCCAAGUUGUCCUAAAGGAUCUGUUGUAAUGAGAUUUUAUAAGAGAGAGUGUUGGGUAACUGGGAAAGUGCCAGAGGACUCCAGAUGUUGCUGUUUGGAGCUCAGAAAGGCCCAGAGACCUGCCAGCACACCGAGUCUCCUCUGACCCACAGCAGGGGUCACCCAAACUCACAUCUGAAAUCAACUUAUCUGCCCUGGUUGGUGUAGCUCAGUGGAUUGAGCAUGGGCCUGCAAACCAAACGAUCACAGUUCAAUUCCCAGUCAGGGCACAUGCCUGGGUUGCAGGCCAGUUCCCAGCAGGGGAUGCAUGAGAAGCGUCCUUCCCUCCCCCUCUAAAGAUAAAUAAAUAAAAUCUUAAAAAAUAAAAUAAAAUCAACUUGUCUACUUUGUGUUUCUGAGGGUCCUUCCUGUGACCAUCCCAUUUGUCUCAGUGGCCUCAGGGCCUAGCACAGUUCCAUCCAGAGGCACUGAAGAAGUCCUUUGAAGAAAAUGCCUACAGAAGUGUGAAUCCAGCCGCUUCCCUGUUCUUCAUGUUUGAUUCUUUCGAAAGGGAUCCAGGGACUCCGUCUGGUACAGUGUUGUGUGAUCACUCAAAACUGCUCACGAAGACAUCUAUAGCGAGUGAAGAGAUCAAAAGGACACUGCCCACAUGCUGAUGGCUUCGCUGGUAGAUUCUACCAAACAUCUGGAGAACAAUGAAUAACGAGUCUUCACAAACUUUUCCAAAAUACAGAUGAGGAGAGAACACACCCCAAUUCAUUGUGUGAUGCCAGUAUCACCCUCAUAUCAAUACCAAACAGAGACAUCACAAGAAAACUACAGGCCAACAUCUCUAAAACCUAGACUUUAAAAUCAUCAACUAAAUACUAGUGUGCACAGUUUAGCAGUGCAUAAAAACAAUUACACACCACGACCAAAUGGGAUUUACCCCGGGAAUGCGAGGUUGGCAACCUAUGAAAAUCAAUCAGGGCCAUGUAUACCAGGGGACAAUCAGGGCCAGAUAUGACCAGGGCCAUAUUAGGAGGACAAAGGGGAGAAGCCCUAUGGUUAUCUCAACAGACUCAGAAAAGGCAUUUUGCAAAAUCCAGCACCCUGUCAUGAUGGGAACACACAAGAAACUAGGACCAGAAGGGGACCUCCUAAACCCGAUCAAGACAGAACAAACCCUCAGCUAAUGUCACACUUUUGGGAUGACAGAGGUUUUCUUCCCAAGAUCAGGAACAAGAUCAGAACAUCUGUUCUUGCUACUUCUCUUCCACUGCCAGCUAAUGGACAAGCCAACGAGGCCAGAAAAUGAAACACAAGGCAUCAGAUUGAAAAGAAUGAUGUAAACUGGAGGGUGGGGCCAAAGUAGGUUGACAGUGGUUUGUAGGAAAAAGAAUACCAUUAAUCACUACUAAUUCAAGAAUAAGCUCUCUGUUUUGUGUACUUAAACUGUAAAUAUACUUUUUCCCCACCCCAGAUGGAGUUACAAGUGAAAUACACAAUCUCUUCUACACACAAAAAGCCUUGCUGCGUGGAAGCAAAAUUCAUGUCUUGCAUGCAUUAAGUUCAUGGUUAGGGGACAGUGAACACUUUGAACCCUCUCUAGUUCCAGCCGACCCCCUCCCCAGAUUAUAAACUCCUGAGCAUUGCCUAAGUUGCUGACUAUUGAAUGCAAACAACUUUAUUACCAACUUCUGCAACGCUGCUGUCUGCAGACUAGCCAUGGCCUUUGCAGAAAUGAUAACCCUCUAAGAAAAUUGCUGGUUCUCGUAACAAAUGUACCAAUCAUGAGUUCAGUCACCUUGGUGAUUUCUCAGUGUUGGGCUUAAAUGACCUGUUGUAUGUUUUAUUUGAUUAGUGGGUCCUUUUGAGUAUCGUAUUUCUUGCAAGCCAACUACUUUCUGUUUCUGAACGCUGUCAUCUCUGAGUUUUCGAUGUACUGGUACUUGGUGAAAUGUAAAUUAAAAU